GACGAACGCUGGCGGCGUGCCUAAUACAUGCAAGUCGAACGCACAGUUUAUACCGUAGCUUGCUACACCAUAGACUGUGAGUUGCGAACGGGUGAGUAACGCGUAGGUAACCUGCCUGGUAGCGGGGGAUAACUAUUGGAAACGAUAGCUAAUAUCUCAUAAUAUUGAUUAUUGCAUGAUAAUUGAUUGAAAUAUUCUAUUGCAUCACUACCAGCUGGACCUGCGUUGUAUUAGCUAGUAGGUGAGGUAACGGCUCACCUAGGCGACGAUACAUAUCCGACCUGGGAGGGGGAUCGGCCAAAAUGGGACUGAGACAAGGCCCAGACUCCUACGGGAGGCAGCAGUAGGGAAUCUUCGGCAAUGGACGGAAGUCUGAACGGGCAACGCCGCGUGAGUGAAGGAGGGUUUCGGAUCGGAAAGCUCUGUUGUAAGAGAAGAACGGGUGUGAGAGUGGAAAGUUCACAUUGUGACGGUAUCUUACCAGAAAGGGACGGCUAACUACGUG
rnacentral:rRNA from 1 species